AUGAAAAUCCUAGGCUGGAACUGCCGUGGUAUGCUCUCCAACACGACAGUUCGGGAGCUUCUGGAUCUACAGAAGCAUACAAGGGCAGAUUUAAUUUUCCUUUCUGAAUCCCAUUUGAAUAAUUGUAAAGCCGAUGAGCUUCGUCGCGUAUUAGGUUUUGAUUCUAUGUUUGUAGUGAAAAGUGAUGGUAAGGCCGGUGGCCUCGCUUUGUUUUAUCAUGAGUCCAAUAAAAUUGAGUUGACUAUGUCUCGCCCCAUUUUAUUGAUAUUGUUUUUAUGUAUGAGAAUGUGGUUCAGUGGCAGUUCAUGGGCUUCUAUGGUCAUCCGAAAUGGAGUGAACACAAUCUAUCUUGGGAUGACAUUCGCAAUUUACAUAGUAAGAACAACCAUCCUUGGGUGGUUUUGGGGGGAUUUUAAUGAAAUUUUAUAUCCCUCGGAAAAAGAGGGUGGUGUAGCUAGACCACUUGGUAUGAUGAGAGAGUUCCGGUAA
rnacentral:rRNA from 1 species